CAGAGGUCUGGGCAGCCCAGCCCCAGCUCUGUGUUGGGAAGAGGCUGCGCUCACCAUGGCCUGGACCCCUGUGCUCCUCCUGCUCCUCGCUCACUGCACAGGGUCCCUCUCCCAGCCUGUGCUGACCCAGCCGCCCUCCCUCUCUGCCUCUCCGGGAGCCACGGCCACACUCCCCUGCACCGUGAAAAGUGACGUCAGUGUCGCUGCUAAAACCUUCUUCUGGUUCCAGCAGAAGCCAGGGAGCCGUCCCCGGUUCCUGCUGUCUUACUCCUCAAGCACAAGUUUGGGCUCCGGGGUCCCCAGCCGCUUCUCUGGGUCCAAGGACGCCUCGGCCAAUGCGGGGCUCCUGCUCAUCGCGGGGCUGCAGCCCGAGGACGAGGCCGACUAUUCCUGUCUGAUCUCGCACGAUGGCGCUUCCCACGGUGACCCACGCGGACGGGGAAGUGGGACAAAACCCUCAGCCGCUUGUUCCGUGACCUCGUAGACAGUGAGCCACAGCUCGCACGUGUGCGCACUCUAUUAACCCACGCCUGGUUGAUAGUGGGCCCACGCCCACUUCUCCAUGGAGGUUUCUGAAGCCUCAGGACAAACACAACAGAAACAAAACAACAAAAAACCGCGGGAAAUGUUGCCUGUUCAUCCUGUGUGGUCCCAGCAGCCCCCGCGGGCCUGCACCUUCCCCCUGAAAUGACAGUGAGCUGAUGACCCCAGGGAAACGCGGGACCAGGGCCUCUCCGGGUCAGGGCUGCGGUGGGAGUGGCAGGAAGAAGGGGG